UGGGGAAUUUUGGCCAAUGGGGGAAACCCUGAUCCAGCCAUCCCGCGUGUGCGAUGAAGGCCUUCGGGUUGUAAAGCACUUUUGGCAGGAAAGAAACGUCAUGGGUUAAUACCCCGUGAAACUGACGGUACCUGCAGAAUAAGCACCGGCUAACUACGUGCCAGCAGCCGCGGUAAUACGUAGGGUGCAAGCGUUAAUCGGAAUUACUGGGCGUAAAGCGUGCGCAGGCGGUUCGGAAAGAAAGAUGUGAAAUCCCAGAGCUCAACUUUGGAACUGCAUUUUUAAUUACCGGGCUAGAGUGUGUCAGAGGGAGGUGGAAUUCCGCGUGUAGCAGUGAAAUGCGUAGAUAUGCGGAGGAACACCGAUGGCGAAGGCAGCCUCCUGGGAUAACACUGACGCUCAUGCACGAAAGCGUGGGGAGCAAACAGG
rnacentral:rRNA from 1 species